UUUUGAAAUUGACACUACCGUAUUUUCACGACCAUAAGGUGCACCGUAUUAAAAGGCGCAGUCUCAGUUAAGGGGUCUAUUUCUGUAUUUAACACAUACAUAAGGCGAACCGUAUUAUUGGGCACAGGCAUGGUAAAAUAUACUCUAUCUUAAAACAUACGGUAGCAUGCAUGCACGCUAAAACAAUGUUUUUAAAAAGGCAGCUUGAGCAAAACUGAGUUCGGUUGUACUUUAUUGAAGUAUUUAACAAUGUACUCACGUUAUUUUUUUGGUCAAUCCUCAUCCACAAGUCCUCAUCUUCUGUAUCCGAAAUGAACAGCUGGGGAAGUUCUCCAACAAACACGUCGGGUUCCCUCUCGUCAUUGUCAGAGUCAGUCUCGUUGCCGGGGGGCUGUUCAGCAAUGAUGCCGGCUUUUGCGAAAGCUCGGACAACAGUCAAAGCAGAUAACUUAGCCCAAGCAUCCAUUCACAUACGGUGGCGUAACUCGCCUGGCGUUGCCUCCCAGUCUUAGUUGCACUUGGUUUUUCACAGCGGCUGUGAGAAGGGCGCGCAUGGAGUCACAGAUCAACAGGGACGGUGACGCGUGGAAAAAAACAUCCGGUCUCUUUACGUACACCUCACUCAGCCACUCUCUCAUUUUCUCCUCGUCCAUCCAGCCCUUUUGAUUGGCCUUAACGAUGACUUCGGCUGGAAACUUUUCUUUAGGCAGUGUCUUCCUCUUAAAAAUCACCAUAGGUGGCAGUUUCUGUCCAUUACCAUGGCAACCAAGCACAACAGUAAAAGCCAACUUCUCGUGCCCCGUUGUGCGUAUCGCUACCGUGUUGGUCCCCUUCUUCUCUACAGUGUGGUUCGCCAGGAUGGCGAAAGUGAGCAAAAGUGAGCGGCACCUCGUCCAUGUUGGUGAUGUGGUUGGGCUGGAUGUGUUUGUCGCCAAUCUUUUUACUGCAGUAGGAGUGGAAGAUGGCCAGCUUUUCCUUGUAAUCCACCAGAAGUUGCUGCGCCACGGUUGUCCUUGCCCGUAUCGAUAAAUGGCGCCUUUUCAUAAAAUGAAAGCACCAAGACGGACCUCCUUGAAAAUGUUCGAUUUUCACUUCUUCUCCAAGCGUUAUUGCCCUCAGUCGAAUGGUGACUGUAGAGACGCUUCUCCUGGCUGUUCUCUGCUCAUUAAUCCAUUGCUCGAGUUGGUCUUCCAACUCGGGCCACCUCGCCUUGUUUCCACGGAAACUCAGCUUAGUCUUCUUGACUUGGCGAAGCUCGUUUUCCUGCUUCCUCCACUUGCGAACCAUGGAUUCGUUGAUCUUGCAUUCUCUCGCGACUGCUCGAUUCCCAUGUUCCUCCGCGUAACAGAUAGCUUGCAGUUUAAACUGUGCUUCGUAAGCGUGUCUCUUUGUAGGGGCCAUUUUCGGGGGUCCUUAGCCAAACCGAUGCACAUACCGGAACUAUAUACCUACUGGGGGCGUGCCUUUAACAUCCUCUGUCACGCGCACCCUUUCCCCUUUAACGUCCACAUGCUGUCCUCAGCCAGGUCCGCCUUUCCUCUAUAUAAGCAGCGUGUCGGCAGGAAAUGCUCCCAGUCAGUCAAGCGGAGCGCUCAUCGAAGUCACACAUAAGGCCCCGCAUUAUAAGGCACCCAGUCCAUUUUGGAGAAAAUUUAAGACUUUUAAGUGCGCCUUAUGGUCGUGAAAAUACGGUACACCCUCUGGACCAUGCCCAAAUUCCACCCAAUGAAUAAUUUGGAAUCAGACUGAAAAAGUGAACAUAGAGCUGAAAGUGACUGGGAGAACAAGAUGAUGCAUCAACUGCAAUGUUCUAAACAACCUACAUUAUAUGUACUUUUCCAGUUGUCUGUGUUUUUCACAACAGUAUAAACUAUAGCAGAAUGAGAUAUGAAUAGAUUUUCCUCAUUGCUUAAAGCUUGUGUUUUGGACAAUUUUCUAUUUAGAUUGUGAAAUAAUCCCUCAAUUUAUAUCAUUACUAAGUUCAGAGAAAUUAAAACUAUCUAUAUAAUAGGUGCAAUACUGUAAUGUAGAAAUGCCCAAAAGUUUCUCAUACAUUAAAGUCCAAAGGCUCUAGUUUCAUGACCGGCAUAAAUCAGGCGCGGUGGGCGGUGUUAUGCCUGGAUCAAAAUACAAGACAAAUUUGAUCUUUCCCGAUUGCACUGCCAGACGACUGGCAUCAAAUCUUGCCGUAUCUCGGUCAGAUAGUGGCAAUACGACUUGACAUGUAUUCCGAUACCACCGCAUCCCGUCUUUUGCAAUCAUGGGCUUUAUCUUGUCAAAUCAUACACUGUCGGAGAGGCGGAACCAGAAAAUGUGUCACCGGUCAAUGCGACCGGAUACAACAACAACUGGCCGCGCCAAUGUAUUGUAUGGAAAAUGAGGAAAAACGUCACCUGUGCUCAGGAGAGAAUGUUAAUUCAAGGAUUGCUUGAGGUAUGUUCAAGUAUUUUUAAUAAGAUACGGCUCGCAAGCAGGCAACAAAAUGUUAUGUAGCCUAGCAAGCUAGUGCUAGCACUAACGGUUGUACGUAAACAUGCCGGCGUUCAGUCAAAUCAUGCUCUAAAGCUUCGGUAAACAUUGGUUUGUGCGCAUGAAUAAAUGUUGACAACGGCAUGCAAACAUGUUGACAACGCCAUGAACGGGAGGCGAUGCGGCGGUCACAUUACGCAAUCCUAUUGGUCGAUGUCAAGGUGCGCGGUCAGAGAGUUGUCGUUGAUAUGUCACACUACACGGAAGAUUUCCAAAAAAUCAAACAUGCUACACUUUUCAUUUUGGCGUUGUAGGGCCCAAAUCGUUGAUCGUGGAUUAUGUCACACUACAAGAAGUUGUGUCGUUCCUGAAAAAAUAUGUCUGCCCCGAUCUGGGAAAUCGGCUGCGAUAGCUAAUCGGCCCAAUAUCCGGGCUAAAAUCCUGUACUUUUUGUACAUUAAUGUUCACUGUGGUGGAUAAGAUCGGGUUUUCGUGAUUUCACAGACGCGCGCAAGCUGGCGUAUUUAAAGGAGGGCGGUCUUCACCGUGGGCAUGAACACAGCAGACUUAAUUCACCAGCAAUCUAAGCGGCGCCUCUCAUUCCCUUUAAAUAUGGCGCAAUGGGUCUCGCAUGGAGACAUAUCUGUGCGGAAGAGUGAUCCGUGCGUGACUGCAGCAUAUUCACUCCUCUUGCCUGUGUGGCAACAGACAAUGUGAGUGGAUACCCUUAUUAAAUACAGAAGGAGCUGGUGAUAACCGCUGGCAAAUUUAAAUGUCUGCGGACCUCAUGUAUCUAUCCCCACCCCAGUUCUUUCGCAGAUCAAGCGCUGUUUCUGCUAUGCAUGUUUUGGCCUCUGAGGGGCAGUGUGAUACACACGAGAUGCACACUUGCAGUAACAAAGAAAGUAGAAGUCACGAUCGAAUGUUGUUAUUUUAACUCGUUUUUCACAAUUUGAAGGAUAUAUGCCAGAGAGUAUUGUUAUAUUGCCUGUUGGUAUGUGGUUAUAAAACGUUGGUGUACCAGUAUUCAUUAUUUUGACAAAUAUAAGUGCCGCAGGUCUAUGCAAAUUUUUGUUAGCUCGUCAAUGGUGUUAUUUAUUGAUUGCGUGUUAGUUUUGAGCUAGCAAUUGUUGUGAGCAAAAACAAAGAAACGAAGGCUGUGAUUUAUUUGAACAGUAAAUUGGUGUAAUUCUUUUGUUUUGUGAAUUUAGUUUUACAGUGAACUUUAUCUGGAGUGUCAAUAAACGACUUUAAGUAAGCAACAUCUACUCUUACUCCUUGCUACUAUGUUAGCACCUUAGCAACUUGUUGUUGUGAUCACAUGGGGUCUGCAUGCCAUCCGGGCACUGCUGGAAAAUAAGUGCUGGAGCGGCGCAUGGACUGGACUGCUUGUAUAAGAGUGGUAAAAUCUGAGAUUUUAGAUCCAGUCCAAUUUUUUAUUUUAUUAUUUUUUUUGCUGUCAUCGCACCGAUUUCCAAUCUCAAAGAAGUGUCAUCCACAUUUUGGUAAAUUCAACAGUGAUCCUGAUCAUAAUUUUACAACUCGUUUUAGUUUGAAAUUUUUUUUAUAGCACUGUGUUUUAUAAAUGGUGAAAGUCAUGAUGUUUAUUUAUUAUGCUACAAACUUGGACUGGUAGUAGCAGUGUCUGAAAACAGUGCAGAUCAUAGCACCACUAAUUAAACACAACCUAUUAUCUUAAAAAAGGGUGGCUCUUAUCAUGAUAUUGUGAUUUUGCUUGAGAACUUGAAUUAUUUCUGUUUUUUGUUGUCAGUAGACGUUAUAUUUGGUUGUCAAUGCUUUCCUUUUGCCCUACUGCAGCAUGGUAAAAUCUUGAUUAGGUCUUUUUGCUGAUCCAGUUAUAGCUCACCGCCAGUUUAUUUGAAAACAUUCCUGCUGCAUCACAUGACAGUGUUUGAAUGGCAACCUUCCAUCAACAAUGGAAAACAGUGGAGAACUGCAUUCUGUUAAGUAUAAAAUUUGUGUCAGUAUCAGGGACAUGCACAGACAUUUUGGGGGACGGGCUCAAGUGAGGAAAAAAAAGCACUUAUUUAUUCAUUUGGUACACUUUGCUGUUUCCUGAUGCUCCUUCUCCUUCCUUUUCUGAAUUAUUAUUUUUUUGGCAGUGUGGUCCAGACAGGAUUGAAAUGAAUAGUUUUAUUACUUUUGAGCUUCUAUAACUACUCAACGGAAAACAUAAUUUCCUGAAUAUAUUAAUGAAAAUGAAUUAUUAAAAUUAUUAUCAUGUUAUCAUUAUUACCACUACAAUUCUCUCACCACACCUGGACAGAGUCAUUGGUGACUUGAACUUAUAUUUGGUGUACCUUUCACAUUUGAAGGAGGGCUGUCUGUAUCAGGCACAGUAUUGAGAAUUUCUAUUAACAACAAACUAUAGUUUUAAGGUGAGGAGCCUACAAUCAAAAUAUUGCACAGCUGUUUAAGACAUGACACAUGACAAUUGUGCUUUUAUUUUCUCGUCAUUUUGAGAUUAAAGUUCAUGGAGCCUAGGUGGCACAGUGGACAACUGGUUAGCACAUCAGCCUCACAGUUCUGGCCUCCCCUGUGUGGGGUUUGCAUGUUCUCCCUGUGCCUGCGUGGGUUUUCUCCGGGUACUCCGGUUUCCUCCCACAUCCCAAAAAACGUACAUGGUAGAUUAAUUGGUGACACAAAAUUACCUGUAGGUGUGAAUGUGAGUGCCAAUGGUUGUUUGUUUAUAUGUGCCUUGCAAUUGAGUGGGGACCAGUUCAGGGUGUACCCCCCCUCUCACCCGAAGAUAGCUGGGAUAAGCUCCAGCACGCCCGUGACCCUAGUGAGGAUAAGCGGUACGGAAAAUGAAUGAAUGAAUGUAAAUGACAUUGACAGUCUGUAUUCAAGAUGGGUGUUGAAUAAAAAAACUGAGGAAAAGAUCCAUAUUCUAGGAUGCUCCCGUAUGAAAGAUAUAUUAGACAAAUAUGACAAUAACGAUGUCCAUAAAAAUAAUGAAGGUUAAAAAAAAAUCACAGAAAGAAUGCAAACACAUUUGCGAUAUGAUCCACAAGUUUGAACAGAAUGGAAUUGAAAUAAACAUUUUAAACAUUUCUGACUUUAAAAAAAAAAAACAUCCCUCCAUCCAUUCGCCGAACCGCAUAUCCUCACUAGCGUCACGGGCGUCCUUGAGCGUAUCCCAGCUAUCUUUGGGCAAGAGGCAGGGUACACCCUGAAUUGGACAAAACACGAGAGAACCUGAAUUAAUUCAAAGAAGCCACUUACAGUAGGUUCUCAGGAUAGCUCAAAUGGAGCACCAAGAUCAGUCAGAACAAAAUCACACGCGUGUCUGUCCAAGGACUAUGGGAUGUUACAACCUGAUCCUUGAGAAUGAUCGAGAUAUGGUGAGUUUCAAAAAAGGAAUUCUUGCAGGCACCACUUCUUCAUUGAUGACUGCCAUCAAAGCCAUUGCCCUGCUGGGUUGCUUAAGACUCCUCUUGAAAAUGGAAUAUGUGCGGGUUAUCGUUCAAAUAACCAAGUUUACACAAUUGGGUAAUGAUGAAAGAGAAACAUCACAAUGACAUCACUUCCACGUUUUCGAAUUGAAAUCAAGCAACAGCAGAAAAUGCAAAUGAGUAACCUUAAGAAACGUCAUGCCAAGCCGUAAUUCCAUGUCCUAGAUUAUGACCAUUAAUUUUAUCCUUCCAUGCAUUUGGAGACAGUUGUUGUCUGUGUCUUGUUAUCAAUGUCUCGCGCACGAUAUAUGAAAAGAUGUGUUUAGGGCUCGCCCGAUAUGUUUUUUUUUUAGGCAGAUGCCAAUACUGAUGUUUGGCAGAAAAAAAAAACAAUAACCGAUUAAUCGGCCGAUUUAUUUAAAUGAUAUAUAAUUAAUAAAAUAACUUCUUUUGGAGUUGAUAAACACAACAACUUGAGCAUUACAUCACAUUUCGACUCCCAUUAUUUUCUUUGCCAUGAAGUCAUGUCUCCUACGAACCCAAAUAAAAAACAGAUGCCUUGACAGAGUUGCAUUUUAAAUAAAUCUUAUUAUGUACAUACUACACAAGUAGUCAAGCACUGUUACUCUAUACAAGUUACAACACAUAGUUUGUUGCUGUUAACUUUUUACAAGCUUUAAUAUGAAUUUUUUACAGGGUUAUUUUUAACCAGUAAGCCUAUAUUAAUAUCAAACCCAUGAACUUGAAUUAAAAUGUUCUGUAUUUUCUUUUCACUGAGGUAGGUUACACUUUCAGGAGAGCUUUAGAACACACUUGCUUAAAUUGCAUGUGCUGGUGUUAGUUGGUUAUUUGAAUUUGAGUUGAUUGACCAACAUUUUAGGUGUAGUUUAACUUGUUCGCUGUCUGAAUGCUGGCAUAAGAUGUAUUUUAUUGUGAGGAUAAGGAGUACCGAAAAUGGAUGGAUGGAUACUUCGAUGAUUCUGACUUCGGUGCUGUGCCAAGCAUCUGAGCCAGAGCACCCAUUUUACAGACAGGGACUCCAUUGCUUCCAAACCAUGUAAUGAUCAUGAUAAUCAUGCAACUUCUUUUGCGGAAUAUAAUCUUAUUGCAAGGGUUGCACUGAGCCGAUUUGUCAUUUAUUUUAUUCAUAUACUCAUUUAAGCCACACGAUUGCCGUCGCAAACACACUUCAUGCGUGUUCUUCGAUUGUUUCCAACGAGUUCUUCUUUGGGUCGGCAGGCUCGGUAUGGAAAAUCUGGAAAAUGAACAAGGCAAUGCGAGUGGUGCGGUGGGAUUCUUUUUUAGUGUCUAAACGUCUGUGAGUUGAUAUGUUAGUAUAAUCUGUGUUGUUAUUAAUUAAAGUCUUUAGUGUUUCUAUCAAACUUAUUAGUGAAUGAACACCAUAUCACAUGCAUGUUAGUCAACUGGUGUACGGAGUUGCUGGGCCGGCACAUUGAGGAAGAGUGAGCGGGAUGGGUGGGGGAGGGUCUUGUGCAGUUUGUGUGAUCGUCAAGCCUCUGGAUUACCGCAAUGAGGAAUGGCACCCUGUAGAGGGCAACAAUGCCUUGAGGUGAAUGUCCCUCCCUCAGAGGAAGAAGAGGCAGAAGGAGUAGGCGGGGUGCAAGAGACAAUGAGAAGAAGGCAAGCAUAAUGGGGGAAAAGUGAGAAGACAAAAUAAAAAAUAAAUAAAAAAGAGAUUUUGGUACCAGAAGUUUAUUGCGCCAAGGUAAGAAAAAUAUUCCUGCGACCGACAGGAAUGACGCCUUCGAUCAUGCGGGGAAAUAAAGAAUCACACUCUGAGCCGAUUGCAUUGUUGCAAAGCUAUUUCCCAAAAUGCCGGGCCUUAUGGUGAGAUCCUCUCGGCCGCUUGCCAGAUGAUUGUCUGCCGACCAUCAUUUGAAUAAAUGGGAUCCGGAAUCGUCAGAUGAGUGAACUCCCUCUGGAUCGCCAGCCGAGCUUCAUCCCGAGAUCCUCCAGAUGAUAUGGAUUCAAAGUUACAGGUUACGCAUCCAGCAGACGUUCGACCCCCAUUUCAGUACGCAGUGCAGACAAAAAAGGUUGUGCUUCGAGCAGAAGUAGGGACUGGUUUCAAUGACAAUAACUACCACACAAGAUCCCAUUCACCUCCACCAAAGAAUAAACCAGAUGUGGACACAACUUUGCUAGAUUUUGUGCGCAAGAUUUUGAGCAAACGGUAGAGGAGGAGAAUUUGGAGGAAAAAAGUGAGGGAACCCCAUUUGUUCAUGUAUUUCUUAUGUAAAUUCUGAACAUAGUUAUACUUGUAAAUAAAUUAUUUUUCUGUUAAAAAAUA